GAUGAAGAACGUAGCGAAAUGCGAUACGUAAUGUGAAUUGCAGAAUUCAGUGAAUCAUCGAGUCUUUGAACGCACAUUGCGCCCCCUGGUAUUCCGGGGGGCAUGCCUGUCCGAGCGUCAUUGCUGCCCUCAAGCCCGGCUUGUGUGUUGGGUCUCGUCCCCCUUCCCGGGGGGACGGGCCCGAAAGGCAGCGGCGGCACCGCGUCCGGUCCUCGAGCGUAUGGGGCUUUGUCACCCGCUCUGUAGGCCCGGCCGGCGCUUGACGAUCAACCAAAACUUUUUUCCAGGUUGACCUCGGAUCAGGUAGGGAUACCCGCUGAACUUAAGCAUAUCAAUAAGCGGAGGA
rnacentral:misc_RNA from 1 species